rnacentral:rRNA from 1 species
GUGCUGCGGAGCGCAUGCAUAUAUCGAAUAAACUUGAACAGGCUGUUGCUGGUCCCUUGGGACAUGUGCACGCUUGUCAUCUUUAUCAUUUCUCCAACUGUGCACAUACUUUGUAGACCUUGGAGGGGGAAAUGGAAUUCGUUCCGAGUGGGGACUGCUGUGCCUUCAAAAAAAAGAGGUCGGCUUUCCCUUUGAAAGGUUCUAUGUCUCACAAAACAAUAUGUCUAGAAUGUUGAAAUACAAUAAAAGUUAUAAAAAACAACUUUCAGCAACGGAUCUCUUGGCUCUCGCAUCGAUGAAGAACGCAGCGAAAUGCGAUAAGUAAUGUGAAUUGCAGAAUUCAGUGAAUCAUCGAAUCUUUGAACGCAUCUUGCGCUCCUUGGUAUUCCGAGGAGCAUGCCUGUUUGAGUGUCAUUUUGAACUCUCAAAGCCCACAUCUUGAUGUGGCUUUGGACUUGGGGGCUUUUGCAGGCUUUUAGUGAAAGGCCUGCUCUCCUGAAAUUCAUUAGUGGUACCUGGAGUGGAGACCGCUAGGCGUUGAUAACAUUCAUCUAUGCCUUUGGUAUGCCGCGCAAAUGGGCUGCUUCGAAAACGCACAUGCUCUUGACAAACUUGACCUCAAAUCAGGUAGGACUACCCGCUGAACUUAAGCAUAUCAAUAAGCGGAGGAAAAGAAACUAACAAGGAUUCCCCUAGUAACUGCGAGUGAAGCGGGAAGAGCUCAAAUUUGAAAUCUGGCGGUUCUUGACCGUCCGAGUUGUAAUCUAGAGAAGUGCUACCUGUGCUGGACCGUGUACAAGUCUCCUGGAAUGGAAGCAUCACAGAGGGUGAGAAUCCCGUCUUUGACACGGACUGCCUGCACGUUGUGGUGUGCUCUCGAAGAGUCGAGUUGUUUGGGAAUGCAGCUCAAAAUGGGUGGUAAAUGCCAUCUAAAGCUAAAUAUUGGCGAGAGACCGAUAGCGAACAAGUACCGUGAGGGAAAGAUGAAAAGAACUUUGGAAAGAGAGUUAAACAGUACGUGAAAUUGCUGAAAGGGAAACGCUUGAAGUCAGUCGCGUCGGCCAGAAAUCAGCCUUGCUUUUGCUUGGUGUACUUUCUUGUUGAUGGGUCAGCAUCAAUUUCGACCGUCGGAUAAAGUCGUUCAGGAAUGUGGCAUCUUCGGAUGUGUUAUAGCCUGGCGUCGCAUACGGUGGUUGGGAUUGAGGAACUCAGCACGCCGCAAGGCCGGGUCUCUUGACCACGUCCGUGCAUAGGAGAACUGAUACAUGGAA